GGAGGGAAUUUAUCCGUUGGAGGGGUCUGGUCGGCACUGUUGAAGUUUGGUUGGCACUGUUGAAGGUUGAUGGAUAUGAAAGACAUCGGAGAUAGUCGGUCACUGUAGAAAUCCGACUGCUGGAGCCUGUCCAUUGUAGAAAUUCGUCUGGAAUCCGUCCGCUGUAAAAGUUCGGACAGAGUCCGAUUCUUACAGAAGUCCAGAAGGAGGCCGUUUACUGUAGAAGCUCGAAUGGAGAUCGAUUGUCGUGGAAGCUCGGGUGGAGAUCGCUUAUUGCAGAAGCUCGGCUGAAGUCUGCUUGCAAUAGAAGUUCGGAUGGAAUUCGCUUACUGUUGAAGC
rnacentral:lncRNA from 1 species